AAAUUGUUUAGCCCGAGUACACGUUUCAGUAUGUUAUCGUUUCCCAAAUUUUAAGCAAAUUUGCAAAUUUUUUAUUGAAAAAUUACAAAUCAAAAAGAUGUUUUAUUUUUUGAGUUCUGUUACCUGUUAAAAUUAAGAGGCGUAUUUCUGAUACACCCUGUAUAACAACCUUUAAAGCAUCAUUAGUUAGGAUAAUUUUAGUUAAACUUCAAAAUAUAAUAGCGCUAAAGUCAAGGUGUGUUAAAAUGAUUUCAAACUAUCACGAGCCGCCACUGCUCAGUGGCGUCCCCAACGAUAACUUUACUUUCCGAAUACUUGGUUGCGUUUUUGUAGGUUUCAAAAUCGCGGAGUGCCUUCAACAAUUUUUCCAAUUUUUCGGUCGGUUUAAAUUUUGCGAGGAAAGAAAAAUGUGCUUGCAUCGAGUUACGUAAUUUAGCAGCGCGGCGGGAAGCAUACGCGCGCACCAUGCUUUAAACAGGUUGCAUCAUGUUUCGAGUUAUCUCAUCCCCACUAUUCUGUACUAGCGUCUGGCCCGUGCCGGUCUACAAAUGUUCGAUCAGUCGAAAUGUUGCGAGCGGAGUCGGAACAGUACGAACGGAGACCAUAACGGACUUCUCAUUUCGGCUGGGCUGGUUAAGUCUGUGUUAAAAGUUCUAAAGUGGUCUUGAAACUUGAAAUGUUAAAUUGCAUUGACUUGCAUCGGCAGUUUUGCGUAUGCUGAAUGACUUCAUUAGGACUAUCACCAAUGGCCCAGAGACUAACGAGUUUGCUGAGUACUUCAAAAAUAAUUACAUUAACAAUCGGCAUUGCUGGGCAUAUUGUUAUCGUUUACACUCCGGGCUAAACACCAACAUGCACAUAGAACGCAUGCACAGAACCAUCAAAUAUAUCUAUUUUGGUGGACGAAAAGUCAAGCGUUUGGACAAGGCAUUACAUGAGAUAGAAAAAUUUAUAAGGGAUCGUUUAUUCAACCGCCUUACAGUCUUGUUUAAGGGUAAAUUGUCACACAAAUUGAAUGAGCUUCGCACACGCCAUGUCACUAGCCAAAAGCUUUCUACGGCCUUGCUUGUAUCAAACGGUGCUGGAUGGGAAUUUCCUUCAAAUAACUCUUUUGAAGUGUACGUGCUUGAAGAAAAGGAGGGUGGUAUUUCAUGUAAUAACUGCAAGUUGAUGUGCAUGGAUUGUGGUGUUUGCAUACAUAAGUACAGUUGUAGCUGUGUGGAUUCCUGUAUAAAAUUCAACAUGUGCAAACACAUACACCUAUUGUGUAGAUAUCUCAAACAACAGAACACUUCCCUAACUGCUAGUACUGGUCUGUCAGGUAAUAUCCUUCUCUAAAUCGCAUUUUUACUUUUUGGCUGCCUAAAUUUAAUCAGAAGAACAAAAAAGAUAAAUUCUUAUAGGUUCAGAUGAUGUUACAUCGAUAUUAUAGUCAUUUGAUCAUCUGUGAUACUCCACCAACGUUUUUGGGAUCAUUGUAAAAAAAACAGAAGAUGAACGUAAUUUGCUGAUCAGCGAAGAUUCCAAAGCCUCUGAAGUUUCCGGAAUUGUAACCGGCCUUACCGUCAAUGAAGCUCUAAACCCCAAAGAGUUUGACAAGCAGUUUAUUGCCAAAGAAAGGCAGAGACUGCGUGAAACUUUUAAUCAACUGGUAGAAGGUGCGACUUGCAUGGAACAACUUGAAGCUGCGAAAAACAUGUGUAUAGCUCUAGAACCCACACUGCAAGCAAUAGCAACGAAAAGGGAGCUAACAACACCGUCUACACGUGCAAGUCCUAACAACAAAAAAAUUACACCUCAACGAGGUGUAUUGCAUUCCGUAUUGCAUUCCACCAAGAAAAAAAACAAGAGACCAUCAAUGACUCUAGUUGCGCCUACAAAUGAAGAGAUGCAAGCAAUCGCGAUACGAACGUUGUCCAAAUAAUUUUACUACUGAACAAUAAUUAACUUUAAUAAAUACUUACGCAUUA